CAGUGUUGGCUACUCUACUUCCUCUGAGUAAUUUUGCGGCUAUCUGGGCCUGAAAAUCAACCUAUAGCUGGUACUCUCUACACUACCCUUACUGUCUGUUCGUUUCAAAUGGCCUUUCAUUUUGGGAGGGCAGCUUCAGUUUCCCGGCAGUUAUAUUUUCAACCGAUCUUCUUCUUUGUUGUUAUAAAGUGUUACGGAGGCGCGAGGCCAAUCCGUCACUUCUAAACACUGUGUGCGGUAGAUGGACUGAGGCAGUAAACUACAAGCUGAUCGACACGAUGCAUUUGCAGAGAAGAUCAUGAUAUAAGGACGCAUUCCUACGACCGGCCUGGCCAGUACAGAAAACACCCCUUGAAGAGAGAUCGUCAACUCAUGGGACUACAGUGCAGUAAAGCCGCUUGUAGCAGGAUGUGUCGGUGCACGCUGAAAUAAAGCCGCUUCAGAUCGAUGUGUGGGGGAAGAGGAGCCGAAACAGAGAUCGCUUCCGCGCUGUUCAGAACUCUCAAACGAAAUCCUUCUCUGCUGUUCUGCAAAUUAAACACAACAGAUCAGAUUUGGAAUGCAUUUUGUAAAACAACACAGAAAAACCAUAAAUUGUUAACACUAGAUGGAAAGUUGAAGGGGGGAAAAAGCAGCACACUGUGCAUCUCAAUUUCAGACAGUGGAAAACAUGAAGCACAUGAAAUAAAAUACGAGGCCUUGUGUGUGUGUUGUGUAGUUUGAUGUCAAACAAUUUGAGCCUAUCUAAACCUUGUGUAUUGUGUGUGUGUGUGUUUUUGUGUGAGUGUGUGUGUGUGUAGGUGUGUUUGUACGUGUGUGUGUGUGUGUGUGAGUGUGUUUGUGUGUGUGUUUGUGCAUGUGUGUGUGUGUGUGAGUGUGUUUGUGCGUGUGUGUGUGUGUUUGUGUGUGUGUGUGUUUGCACGUGUGUGUGUGUGUGUUUGCUUGUGCUGUAACAAGGGAAAGGAUGUGUCCGGAUCACUUUCAUAUUGGUGGCCUGUUUAAAAUUCAUUGAUGUGUCCGUCAACCCCACCCCCCCCACCCCCCCCCAAUCAAUAUCUUCUGGAAAUUUUGAGUUGUGCAUCUCUUUCACAAGCUUGGUUUAAAACAUCAGCACAAAGUAUUAUUCAUUUUAUUGCCCGCUGUAAAUGAAAAUUAAUGAUGCUGACAUCCACAAUUAACAAUGAAAAAUGCAGAUUCUUAUAAUUACUUUAGCAAUAACAUUGUUCCCGGGCCCAAGCUCAAGGUGCUCUCCAUAUUCUCUCACACAUUCAGUAAAACACAAAAAGACAGCUUCAUUACAUUUUAUUUGCUACAGGAAACAAAAAAAGGCAAAGAAAAUCCUCUGGUCUUUUGGGAAUCUCUCUCCAUGCAUAAUUAAGCAAAUUUGAUUGGAAUUAAGCAUGACUUCUUUGGUUGAGUUUUAAUGAAUGCAAAUCAGGCAUCUACAUCCCUAAGAUUAAUUUCAGCCAAUUAAAAAACAAAGCUUAUUGGAAAGUGUAAAAGUGUUCAAAGAAGAGUGGCGAAGCAUUUUCCCCCCCUCCCUCCCUCCCUCCCUCCCUCGCUCUCUCUCUCUCCUCAUCUCAUCUUCAUAACUCGCACUCAGGAGAAUUUUCCCCGCUCAACUUUGAUCAUUAGCAUGAAGUUCCAAGCGAGCAUCGUGAAUUCAAAUGUAGUGUAAAAACACGGCCCCCUCUUGAAGCACUUGGCCAUUACCCUGUAACACGGCACGAUAAAAGCUACUGUGAAAUCCGGAGUCAUUUCGUUUGUGUUCUUAUUGCUUCUGUUUUUUUUUUUCUCCAGUCAGAAAUGUAACAGAAAAUGCUUUAAUGUCUGGGCUUUCUUUUAAAAUGUCAGGUACUGAUAAAGUACUGUAUUGUGAUUUUCCAAGCAUAAAAAUGAAAACACUUUUCGGAUUACUGCUCCCUACAA